rnacentral:lncRNA from 10 species
GUGAGUGGAGGGCAUGUGGUAUUUCAGCCUCCACCCAGCUGCUGAACAGACAGGCACACACUGAACAGCCUCACCCGCCACAGCCUUGCUCUCAAGCGUUCUGCUUUCCUGCAUCAGCAGAAAUAAGGGGACCAAUUUAUCAUACCUGCUGGGUGCCAGAUGACGUAACUACGGCUUUGGGAUGUUACGCAACGAGUAAGGCCUUGUGAGUCUUCACAGAAAGGGACUGGCCUGGAGGCUCCGAGCGGUCAGCUAGUUCCCGUCACUGUUCUCCCCGGGAAGCUGUGGAUGGGCAGUGACCCAGGCAGGGAAAGGCCUCGGAUGGAAUUGCACUCAAGGACAUGUCUGCGUCAAAGCUUUUCUCCAAGUUCGUCUUCAGUUGCUAUUUCUGAAGCCACAUCACACCCUGAGAAACUCCUCCCUUUUCCUCUACCCUGCUUCUCCCCCCGUCUGUCUCCUUCUUGUCACUUUUAGUUGGUUUUGCACGGGAACUCUGAGGCCAUCCCAGCUGCCCUUGUCUGCCCGUGAGAAUCCCCUUCCACAGCGCCUCAAGAGCAGGAUGGAAGUUCCAAGAGUAUGAAUUCAUUUCAUGACAUGUACCUUUUGCAACAUACCCCGCAGCUGCAUGUCUUCAAGGAAUGAUGGGACACUAUGUUUAAGCUCCAGAAAUCGAAGCAGGACUCAAAGAAGCAGGCCAGUUCUGCUCUGCCCCCAAAGGGUUAAGAGCCGGAACUUUCCAGCAGAAAGCAGAUCUCCUUCAGAAGAAGACUCCUGAGACUCUUGCUUGACUUCAAGUUUCCCGAGUGAGACACUGUGAAGAGCUCUGAAACAGUCACAGAAGCUACAAUGAUCAGGCUCCUGUGUGAAAACAGUUCAUCUCCAUCACAACCGUGCAGGGAACCAUGCAGGCUGAACAGGAGUAUUGGCACAGAAGCUGCAGCCAACUGUAGAAAGAGCAUUUCAAGCAAGUCAGAAAUUCUCCCAG